CUACGGGUGGCAGCAGUCGGGAAUAUUGGACAAUGGGGGAAACCCUGAUCCAGCCAUGCCGCGUGUGUGAAGAAGGCCCUAGGGUUGUAAAGCACUUUUAGUAGUGAGGAAGGCUCAGUAGUUAAUACCUACUGGGAUUGACGUUAGCUACAGAAAAAGCACCGGCUAAUUUCGUGCCAGCAGCCGCGGUAAUACGAAAGGUGCAAGCGUUAAUCGGAAUUACUGGGCGUAAAGCGCGCGUAGGCGGCUUGGUAAGUUGGAUGUGAAAGCCCCGGGCUCAACCUGGGAACUGCAUCCAAAACUGCCUAGCUAGAGUAUGGUAGAGGAUGGCGGAAUUUCCUGUGUAGCGGUGAAAUGCGUAGAUAUAGGAAGGAACAUCAGUGGCGAAGGCGGCCAUCUGGACCAAUACUGACGCUGAGGUGCGAAAGCGUGGGGAGCAAACAGGAUUAGAUACCCUAGUAGUC
rnacentral:rRNA from 1 species